rnacentral:rRNA from 1 species
UACAUGGAGUCCAAGCGUUAUCCGGAUUUACUGGGCGUAAAGCGUCCGCAGGUGUCCGUUCAAGUUUCUGGUGAAAUCUCACGGCCCAACCGUGAGACUGUCAGGAAAACUGUUCGGAUUGAGUAUGGCAGAGGCAAGGGGAAUUCCAGGUGUAGGGUUAAAAUCCGUUGAUAUCUGGAAGAACACCAGUGGCGAAGGCGCCUUGCUGGGCCAUUACUGACACUCAGGGACGAAAGCGUGGGUAGCGAACGGG